rnacentral:rRNA from 1 species
AAUAGAUACCCAGGUAGUCCACGCCGUAAACGAUGCUAACUCGUUUUUGGGCCUUUGGGUUCAGAGACUAAGCGAAAGUGAUAAGUUAGCCACCUGGGGGGUACGUUCGCAAGAAUGAAACUCAAAGGAAUUGACGGGGGCCCGCACAAGCGGUGGAUUAUGUGGUUUAAUUCGAUGAUACGCGAGGAACCUUACCAAGGCUUAAAUGGGAAAUGACAGGCUUAGAAAUAGGCUUUUCUUCGGACAUUUUUCAAGGUGCUGCAUGGUUGUCGUCAGCUCGUGCCGUGAGGUGUUAGGUUAAGUCCUGCAACGAGCGCAACCCCUGUCACUAGUUGCCAUCAUUAAGUUGGGGACUCUAGUGAGACUGCCUACGCAAGUAGAGAGGAAGGUGGGGAUGACGUCAAAUCAUCACGGCCCUUACGCCUUGGGCCACACACGUAAUACAAUGGCCAGUACAGAGGGCAGCUACACAGCGAUGUGAUGCAAAUCUCGAAAGCUGGUCUCAGUUCGGAUUGGAGUCUGCAACUCGACUCU